AAAUUUAUUCGGGACAUGCAUUAUGUGUAUCAAUGCUUCCAAGCGAGACAUUCUUCCAUAUGAAAUGUUGAGCUUAUGCAGUUGUGGAGAUCAUUCUGCAAGCUGGAGAAUCAAAUUUUUAAUUUAAAAUCACGUUGAGAAGAGUCCUCAAAGGUCAACUUGGUUGCUGUAUUUGUACGUGGCAUGCGUGUGGAAGAAGCAUUGUCGCAGUUACAAGAACUCAUAAAGCCAGCUGCAAAAACUGUAUCGUAUCAGUCAUUCUGCCCGAGCAAAUGCCUCUCAUAAUCUUUGUUGGAGAGGCGUUUUUGAAAAGAAGACUUGUCUACCACGCAGAGGGAGAACGUGAAGUUAAAAGAGCAGAUUGUUGUUUGACAGUGGUGGUGAGGGAAAUGACUCCGUCAGAGGAGGUGGAAAUUGCCCAGCUGAGGGUCCACAAUUUUCACAACUCAUCCAGUAGGGAUAAGAGGCUGUGUAAGCCAUAAGCGAUUGAGACAACUUCAAAUUGGAACCGCAAAGGCAAAAGCAGCAGCCGUGAAAUC